AGCAUCAGAGUUAGCUGCCAUCCUGAGUACAAGCAGCCACCUGGGCUCACUUGGAGACCUUGACAUCUGGAAAUCCAAUCUGCCUGAUCAGAGCAGCAGCUCUGGAGGAAUCCGUGGAGCAGAAGUGAAAUCCAAGUGUGUGGGCAUCAAAUCCAUUUUUGCAACGACUGAUAGAAUAAAGUCUUCUCCCAGACUACCUUCCUAGUAAUCUUGAGAAGCAGACAAGGACCAUUUGCUAACACCAUUGUACACAUUCGGAAAAUAUGACCCAGGAUCAUGUAGGUACAUUUUCAGCCUUAAAGGAUGGUCCACAGGCUCACAGCAUCGCACCUUGAGAAUUAUAACCCUAUUGUUCAGUGAGUGGGUGACCUACCUCCCAGAUGAGCCAGGAAGCUGAGCUUCACUGCAGGUGUUCUACCAUAGAACACCCCAAAUGGAAAUGUGCAAAUGGAUCGCUCCAGCAUCUUGUUAAGGUGCACAUUCUGAUUUGGGGCUGCCAACAUUCCCUGGCCAGUGGCUGCAUCACUCCUACCCUUCCUCCCCUUCACAUCUCCUCUGAUUUAGACCACCCCUGCCCACUCUCAUAAAGACCCCAGGGAUUACCUGAGGCUCACAGACAACCAAGUACAGUAUAAUCUCCCCAGCAAAGAUCCUGAACUCAAUCACACCCACGAACUCCCUGUGGUCAGGGAAGACAACAUAGUCAAAUUCUGGGGAUUUGGUCAGGACAUCUGUAGAGGGUCAUUCUUCCAUCUAUCAUCGCCUAAACAGUAGAAAUACUGAAAUUGUGACCCUUCAGAACAUUUGUACAAGUUACAGGGUUUUACUAGUAAAUACAGGCUGAACUGCUUGGAAUCAUACCACAGAACAAUUCUUAAAAGCCCCUGGGAAAGGAGACAAUGGAAUGAACAUUUCAUGGAACUUCCAUAUGCCGUGGACCAUAUGAAGGCGUGAGAUGAAAGCCAAAGGGACCUGGAGGUUAGACAAAUCCAUAAUCAACACAGCGUCUACCAUGUAGUGUAUUUCUGUGUUUCAGGCACAGCACUAGGCACUCUGCCCACACUAAUUUGUUCAUUUAAUCUGUCAGCAAGCCAGCAAAAAGACAUUAGUGUCUUUGUUUUAAAGAUGAGGGAACUGAGUUGUAUAAUGAUGAUGGGCUCUUUGUGCUCCAUCCAGUCUUUGUAGAAGCUCAAGGGCAUGGCUUGUCUGUAGCAAGGAUGAUGUUUCUAAAUGUGUUUUUUAAUAACUAGCAUUACCUUCCCUGAAGAAAGAAUUUAUAGCUUCCCCAGAAGGCUUCUCUGAUUGGUAAACCUGGUCGUAUGCCAGAGCAUCAUCAAGAUGAGUCCCCAUUAGUGAAGAUGGUGUUUACCCUACUUUCUGAGUCACCACUUACAGUUGACUUUUCCCCACUUAUUUGGCCAAGAUCAUUGGAUCUUCUUGAUUUUGUUGAGAAUAGAAACUGUAGUGUGUAUUAAUGGUUGACAUUCAGGACCCUGCCAGAGAGUGCAUUCAUAUUUGAUGAGCACGUAUUGAAUACUUGUCAUGGGCUGGGGCUGAGUUGGAUUCCUGGUACCUAACUCAGUAAAUGGUGGAGAAUGGUCAUACUCCUCCACCGGCUCACAGGUAGGUGGUCAAUGGCUUAUGGUAACAACAAGGACUUGAUGAUCUGGCUGACUUCAUCAACCUUAACCUGUGUGUAAAAGAACCAGGUGACUGGAUUCCGUCCUGGUGUUGAUAUUUUUACCUCUUAUUCUCCAUCCUUAUGGAAGUUCAGUUCCAAAAUAUGCAUCUAUCUAUUGGUCAGCCUAGAUCUUUCUGUUGCAAAUAAAGAAAAGAGAAAAUAAAGCCGUAAUACUGGAAUUUAAGCUGAUUUUAGCCAAUUUUGCUCCUCUUCAGAUUUCUACUCUCCACGGUGUGCAGCAGCUUACUCAGCCAGCCCUCAAAGCCAGUUGUGUGUGUGUGUGUCUUCCCAAUUCACUGUUCAGGGAUAGCAAGCUCAAAGCUUGGAAUGGGCUGUAAGAACAGUCAUGGCCCCAAAAUAUAUGAGUGCUGUAGCUAGGAUUUUUCUUCUUCUAGAGAGUCAAGUUAGUAGCAUACUCCUGUCCUGAACACGCAGGGUUUGUAUGAGGAAUACCACAAUUAACUAAUGUGUAAGUAAUUAAACAGAUGGAGAAAUGUUAAUAUUUGUUAGUGUUAAUAGAUUAAAGUAAUACUAAACAAGAGGAGUAUCUUAAAAGUCACAGAUUUAGGUGUUGGAAGAGACACUGGGAAUCAAUGAGAAUAUUUCUCCAUUUGUCAGACAAGAAAUCAAAUUAAGCUUGAUCAGAAGAGCUCUCUCAUCUCCUUGGAUGAGGCAACCUAGAUAGCCCUGAAGAUGCCUUACUCCUAUGUCUCAGCUCUUGGGGUUCAAAAGCAGCAGGUGUCUGAGGACAGGGUAUUAACGCCCCACAGUGGUAAGGGUUGCAGAGGGUAACGGACUAACUCCAAGAGCCACGGUUUGCAUGGACAGGUCAGGGUUGCUUUGCCUCUGCCUGAGUCUGCUUUUUGGUCAAACAUGGAGCUCCUAGGACCAAAGACAGGGCCAGUACUGGACCCUCAGGUGCUGGUGCUCAUAGCCUGACUGGCCGCAGUAUCUCAGGAGAAACCCAGGGCAGAGGAGAGUGUUUUUAUUGUGCUAUUGUUGUUCAGAAAGCCUUCCUUCCAGGAUGGACCAAACCAAACAGAUUAAUUUGUUUUAAAAAUUAAUAGAAGCCAAAAACACACCGCAAAACAGCCUGUAGCAGCGUAGGCUUUUUGUGGUUGGCAUCCAGAGAAAAACACGCAGAUUGUUUCUUCUGUCAACGUUCCCCUGCUCUGUCCUUCCCGUCAGCCCUGCUGGCCUCAGCCCCACACUGAGCCCACUGGAGCAUGAAGCUGGGGAGGUCAAGUGUUUCAUACGGACUAAGUCACAUCUGUCACUUUCCUUCUCUCAGCCCACAAGCUGCUGAACCGUGCAGGGCAAAGGUUAGAAUUGUAGCGCUUGGCCACUCUCUGUGUUGCUGCGAUAAAUCUUUCCCUCCUCAUCCCCCCGGUCAGCGCAGGCUUCCUCCCACCCGUCAUCCCAUUUUAGAACAAUCUUUGCAAAAUAAAUAAAUAAAUAAACGAAUAGGAAAGAUCAUUCAGUUAAUAGUUUACAUAUGAACUCUGGCAUGUCCUAGAAAUGGAACUCUUGUAUCCAGCGACCUAAGGUGAAGUUGGUUUUGUGCUGAGUAUCUUGGGGAUUGGGUCCAGCACUCUGAAGAUACCAAAGUGUAUGGAUGCACAAGUCCCUUAUAAAAAUGCUAUAACAUUUGCAUAAAACCUGCAUGUUCCCCUCAUAGGGUACAUUAACAUGUUUGUAGGUUACUUGGAUUUCCGAAUUCAACAUGGAUGCUGUGUAAAAUAGUUGUUAUACUACAUUGUUUAGUGAAUGAUGACAAAAAAAAGCCUGCCCGUGUUUGAUCAGGUGCAUUUCCUUUUUAACAUACUCAUGCUUUGGUUGGGUGAAUUUGAGGAUACAGAGCCCAAGAUACAAAGAGUGACUGAAUUGUGUCCUAGCAACUGCCAAGGAGUUUCUGAUUUUAGAAGACCCCCAGCAAUGGCUGUAGAUCAGUGUAGCAGAUAUUUUAACAGUUUUUAAAAGCACGCCCCUCACUCUUCAUCCUCCUACAAGCCCCACAGCUGUGACCUGCAUGCUAAGAUGAACAGGAUGAGCCUUCCUUAUUCUGGACCCUGGGCCACAGAAAGAAAGAGUUUCAGAGGCUUGAAUAAAGGAGUCUGGAGGCAGAAUGCUUCAGGCAAUGAAUUGAAAAGGUUAAAAAGGCGGGGGACUGGUGAGGAUUCCUGCACCCUGAGCCAGGGGUUGGGCAGUGAACAUGGAGAGAUAGGAGAGGGGCGUGGAAAGAGGUUUGUUACUGAUUUCCAUGGUUACCCCUGACUGGCAACUUGAUUGGUGUGCGAUACCUAGGAGACUUUUGGCUGUGUCCAGAUGGAUCAUGGGACCCGAUCCCUGGGGCCUCCUUCUCUGGCCUGUUCCUCUCACUCUGCUUCCUGGUUGCCCUGAAGUGGGCAGUGUUCUCCCGCCACAUCUUCUGCCAUGAUGCUUCUGCCUUGGAGCGGUCAGCAGUGAACUGAAUCCCGUGAAACCAUAAGCCAACCAGCCUUUCCUCCUUUCACCUGUAUGUGUCAGGUGUUUUGUUCCAGCAGUAGGAAGCUGGAUAAUACACAGAGAUGCAUAAAUAAGAAAGUUACUAAGUGUGAUUCCAGGGAAGGCACCUGACUUCUGGAAGAAUGACAGUUCUCUUAUUUGGCCAAAACCCCCCAGCAUCUUCCCUGUUUCUAAAAUUGUUACAGAAGCUGUUUUUCAGGACUCAGAUGCAGGACUCUACGCCCUGGCCUAAAAUGACCCUGAAAGCCUUCAGUUUCAGAAGACCUGAACCUGAGAACAGAGAACAAGAGUUUGUGAGCCUAGAGGUGCCACCUAUAGGAUGGACAGGAGUAACAGAGACUGUCCACUCCCCAGAUGCAAGUAAUCAGAGAAUUUACCUCCACCCCAGGCCACCUGCUUUCCUCAUCUGAGCAUCCCUCCUGUCUCCUCAUCAGCUGACUCACAAUAAAGCUCUCUUUUUUUGCAAAA